CCUACGGGACGCAGCAGGGAAUAUUGCACAAUGGGGGAAACCCUGAUGCAGCGACGCCGCGUGAGUGAAGAAGUAUUUCGGUACGUAAAGCUCUAUCAGCAGGGAAGAAAAUGACGGUACCUGACUAAGAAGCCCCGGCUAACUACGUGCCAGCAGCCGCGGUAAUACGUAGGGGGCAAGCGUUAUCCGGAUUUACUGGGUGUAAAGGGAGCGUAGACGGCAGCGCAAGUCUGGAGUGAAAUCCCAUGGCUUAACCAUGGAACUGCUUUGGAAACUGUGCAGCUAGAGUGCAGGAGAGGUAAGCG
rnacentral:rRNA from 1 species